GGGCGGGAUCUUAUGGGGUCGUGGUCUUUCAGGGGCGGGGCCAGGUGGCUGGGCUCUGUUCCCAUCAGGCGGGCCGCGCGACCUCGGCACCCAGAUGGAGCCCGGAGGGAGGGGCGCAGAGCCUUAGAGCCUCAAGCUCCGACCUGGUGCCGACCUUAGGAGCUCUGCGAGUCCCGAACCAGAUCUAGAAGAGUGAGGCCUGUUGACAGCACACAGAGCUCAGACCCUGCACUCUCUGCCUCCAAGAGGUCCAUGAGUCACAAGAUGGAGAGGACUUUGCCAGCCAACCCUGGUACCACGGUCCCCUGUCCCACCAGGGUUUUGGAGAAUGUCAGCGACAGAAGACAGAACCUGUAGGACCGUGCAGGAGGGUCUCGUGGUCCGCGUCUGGCCGUUUCCCACAGUCCUCCUACCCUCAUCCUAUUGACCAGAUCCUAUCAUGUGAUGACUCGACCGCAAGGGAGCCUGGGAAAUGUAGUCCAGAGGUGCAUCCAUAGGAAACGGGGGAAUAGUGUGGUGCAAAACUACCCAGUCUCUAGGGUGGUUUUUCUCGGGUGGAGAUUCAUGGAAUCACAAUUAACUGCUAAUCUGGGCUCAGGCCUAACCCCCCACCCCUUGUCCUCCAUCCCCAAAAGGCUGAGGAAGCCAAAUGACAGUCACUGCAGGCUUGGGACAUAUGGGGCAGUUUAACAGACCACUGUGGACCAGGUGAGGGUCUACAAGGGCAGCACAUGACUCAGGGAUUGCCACUUACUGCUUGAUCGAUCUCGUGCAGGAGACUUAACCUUUCGGAAAAUGGGGAUGAUAAUGCUUUUAAAGUUUUCAUGGUGGUGAAAAAAUACACAGGAACUUUGUAGGUGCUUUUUAAAAGGUGGGUUUACUAUAAUCCAUGAAAUCUUAUGUGUUCUGACCAUGGCUGACCUCUCUAAUAAUUCCUGCCACAUUCCUUUCUUACUCGUCACAGGGUCUUCCUUCCAGUUGCUGGAACCUUCCAAAUCUGUUCCUGCCUCAGGGCCUUGGCACUUGCUGUUCUUGCCAUUGGAAAACUCAUUUCCUAAUCUGUUCUUAACUGGCUGCUUGUCAUCCAAUGUAAGUUAAUCACAGCAGCUGACCCUGAGCAUCCUAGGAAAAGAGGCCACCGCCUCAUGCCCUGUCUGCCCCAUCUGCCUCCCUAUCUACCCCCAUUCAGCCAGAGCCCUCCCUGUAACUAAGUGCUGAGACACAUCCAUGAACAAGAAACACAAAAAUCCCUGCCUGAGUGAGACAACAUCCUAUUAGAGGAAGAUGGACUGUGAACAACAAAAAUAUGCCCAUCAUGUAUGCUUUGGGUGAAAAUUAAAACUAGAACAGAG